rnacentral:siRNA from 1 species
CAUUUCAUUCUUUCCAGCUUUCCU